rnacentral:rRNA from 1 species
UACGUAGGGGGCGAGCGUUAAUCGGAAUUACUGGGCGUAAAGCGUGCGCAGGCGGUUGUGCAAGACAGAUGUGAAAUCCCCGGGCUCAACCUGGGAACUGCAUUUGUGACUGCAUAGCUAGAGUACGGUAGAGGGGGAUGGAAUUCCGCGUGUAGCAGUGAAAUGCGUAGAUAUGCGGAGGAACACCGAUGGCGAAGGCAAUCCCCUGGACCUGUACUGACGCUCAUGC